rnacentral:rRNA from 1 species
CGGCAAGACGGAAAGACCCCGUGAACCUUUACUAUAGCUUGACACUGAACAUUGAGCCUUGAUGUGUAGGAUAGGUGGGAGGCUUUGAAGUGUGGACGCCAGUCUGCAUGGAGCCGACCUUGAAAUACCACCCUUUAAUGUUUGAUGUUCUAACGUGGACCCGUGAUCCGGGUUGCGGACAGUGUCUGGUGGGUAGUUUGACUGGGGCGGUCUCCUCCUAAAGAGUAACGGAGGAGCACGAAGGUUGGCUAAUCCUGGUCGGACAUCAGGAGGUUAGUGCAAUGGCAUAAGCCAGCUUGACUGCGAGCGUGACGGCGCGAGCAGGUGCGAAAGCAGGUCAUAGUGAUCCGGUGGUUCUGAAUGGAAGGGCCAUCGCUCAACGGAUAAAAGGUACUCCGGGGAUAACAGGCUGAUACCGCCCAAGAGUUCAUAUCGACGGCGGUGUUUGGCACCUCGAUGUCGGCUCAUCACAUCCUGGGGCUGAAGUAGGUCCCAAGGGUAUGGCUGUUCGCCAUUUAAAGUGGUACGCGAGCUGGGUUUAGAACGUCGUGAGACAGUUCGGUCCCUA